CGGCUCAGUAACACGUCGAUAAUCUGCCCUUAGGUCUAUGCGAACCUCGGGAAACUGAGGCUAAACUUGAUAGGGGUUAUGAACUGGAAUGUUCUUUCCCUUAAUCUAAGGAUGAGUCGGCGGCAGAUUAGGUAGAUGGAGAGGUAACGGCUCACCAUGCCUAAGAUCUGUACGGGCCAUGAGAGUGGUUGCCCGGAGAGGGAUACUGAGAUACUGAUCCCAGCCCUACGGGGUGCAGCAGGCGCGGAAACUUUACAAUGCACGCAAGUGUGAUAAGGGAAUCCAAAGUGCUUACGCUUUGCGUAGGCUUUUGCCAAGUCUAAAUAGCUUGGAGAAUAAGUGGUGGGUAAGACUGGUGCCAGCAGCCGCGGUAACCCCAGCGCCACGAGUGGGAGUCGCUUUUAUUGGGCCUAAAGCGUUCGUAGCCUGUUUAACAAGUCUUUUGUGAAAUUGUUAGGCUUAACCUAACAGCGCGCAAGAGAUACUAUUUUUCUUGAGACCGGGAGGAGUAUGGGGUACUCCAUGGGGAACGGUAAAAUGUAAUAAUCCAUGGAAGACCACCAGUGGCGAAGGCGCCAUACUAGAACGGAUCUGACGGUGAGGGACGAAGGCUAGGGGAGCAAAACGGAUUAGAUACCCGAGUAGUCCUGGCAGUAAACUCUGUGUGCUAGGUGUUGCAUUUUCUUGUGAACGUGCAGUAUCGAAGUGAAGACAUUAAGCACACCGCCUGGGUAGUACGGUCGCAAGGCUGAAACUUAAAGGAAUUGCGCGGGG
rnacentral:rRNA from 1 species